rnacentral:misc_RNA from 1 species
GGCAACCCUCGUCGUCAGCGCUUUUGUCGUGGUGGCAGGUAUCUUCGGGAUGAACAUCCAUAUUGAACUGUUUGAACCUGAAAAAGCAGGCAUGCCGGAGUUCCUAUGGACUGUUGGUGGUGGUGCUACAGGAACCAUCUUCUUGUAUGUCAUUGCCAUUGCCUGGUGUAAGCACAAACGCUUGCUCGAGUAGUACUCGAGAACUGAAAUGUACUGCUAAUGGUGUAGUUGG